rnacentral:rRNA from 1 species
CUUAGGGGGGACGUUUACCACGGUGUGAUUCAUGACUGGGGUGAAGUCGUAACAAGGUAGCCGUAGGGGAACCUGCGGCUGGAUCACCUCCUUA